rnacentral:lncRNA from 1 species
AUGAACUGGGAGAGCACCAGCGCGCUGCUCCAGGCCAGGAAGGCACCGGUUCAAACUGGGACGGGACCAGUCAAAAGCCAGCUGGGCCAAACUGGGACGGACUGGGGGGAACUGGGACCGGAUCGGAACCAACUGGGACCAACUGGGAGCAACUGGUCUUUACUGGGACCAACUGGGACUGAUUGGAGCCAAUGGGAACCAACUGGACCCAACUGGAACCAACUGAACCCAACUGGGACCAACUGGAAAAACCAACUGGAACCAACUGGUUCUUACUGGAACCAGCAACUGGAACCAACUGGGCCCAACUGGGACCAACUGGGCCCAACUGGAACCAACUGGAAGAACCAACUGGAACCAACUGGAACCAACUGGUUCUUACUGGACCCAAC